rnacentral:sRNA from 1 species
GCCUAGCCCCGAUUGAAGCUUUGUUUGAGCUCUUUUUUGUUGUUUUUUAACAAAAAAAGCGAGUGCGGAAAGCGGGAAAUUGC